GAUGAACGCUGGCGGCGUGCUUAACACAUGCAAGUCGAACGAAGCAGAUGAGAAAGCUUGCUUUUUUAUUUCGCUUAGUGGCGGACGGGUGAGUAACGCGUGAGUAACCUGCCCUUCAGUGGGGAAUAACAUCGAGAAAUCGGUGCUAAUACCGCAUAACGUAUUUAUGUCGCAUGACAUUUAUACCAAAGGAUUUAUUCGCUGAAGGAUGGACUCGCGUCCGAUUAGAUAGUUGGUGAGAUAAUGGCCCACCAAGUCAACGAUCGGUAGCCGAACUGAGAGGUUGAUCGGCCACAUUGGGACUGAGACACGGCCCAGACUCCUACGGGAGGCAGCAGUGGGGAAUAUUGGGCAAUGGGCGAAAGCCUGACCCAGCAACGCCGCGUGAAGGAUGAAGGUCUUCGGAUUGUAAACUUCUUUGAUUAGGGAAGAAUUUUUGACCUACCUAAAGAACAAGUCACGGCUAACUACGUG
rnacentral:rRNA from 1 species